rnacentral:rRNA from 1 species
GAUCUUGGUUCAGGAUGAACGCUAGCGGCAGGCCUAAUACAUGCAAGUCGUACGGGAUGGCCCCUUCGGGGGCUUGAGAGUGGCGCACGGGUGCGUAACGCGUAUGCAACCAACCCUCAUCCGGGGGACAGCCGGUGGAAACGCCGGGUAAUACCCCAUGGCGAUUCCUGUGGGCAUCCACGGGGGUUGAAAGACUUCGGUCGGGGAGGACGGGCAUGCGUCCCAUUAGCUAGUCGGCGGGGUGACGGCCCACCGAGGCGACGAUGGGUAGGGGAUCUGAGAGGACGGUCCCCCACACUGGUACUGAGACACGGACCAGACUCCUACGGGAGGCAGCAGUAAGGAAUAUUGGGCAAUGGGGGGAACCCUGACCCAGCCCAUGCCGCGUGAGGGAAGUAGGCCCUACGGGUCGUGAACCUCUUUUGUCCAGGGACAAGGACGGGGUCGGGAACUCCGUUUGAGGGUACUGGAAGAAUAAGCAUCGGCUAACUCCGUGCCAGCCGCGGC